GGGGGCGUCACGGCUUCGACGGAGAUGCUUGCGGCCAAGAGGCAUGCCGGGGUGCACACACCCGUAAUCGCGUGCAAAACAACAAUUGCCAAUCAACAGAUGGCAUACGCUGCUUAAUUUAGUUAAGUAGCCGUUCUCGGAGGCUUCGCCCGUGGGCCUCCGAAGGACGUCGCACAGCGGGCUGCUCUUCCCGGCUACGUCUGGGCCGGGAAGCUAAGAUCUCAGGCUAGCGGCUUGCGUUUCUUGUCCGUUCUGAGCGCCGGUCGCGAACGUCCUGGGGUAAUGCCCAGGGCAUGAACUGGACUACGCAUGUAGGCUCUUGACCAGUAACAUUUUCGGACGCGGGUUCGACUCCCGCCGCCUCCACCA
rnacentral:tmRNA from 1 species